GAUGAACGCUGGCGGCGUGCCUAAUACAUGCAAGUCGAGCGAACAGACGAGGAGCUUGCUCCUCUGACGUUAGCGGCGGACGGGUGAGUAACACGUGGAUAACCUACCUAUAAGACUGGGAUAACUUCGGGAAACCGGAGCUAAUACCGGAUAAUAUAUUGAACCGCAUGGUUCAAUAGUGAAAGACGGUUUUGCUGUCACUUAUAGAUGGAUCCGCGCCGCAUUAGCUAGUUGGUAAGGUAACGGCUUACCAAGGCAUCGAUGCGUAGCCGACCUGAGAGGGUGAUCGGCCACACUGGAACUGAGACACGGUCCAGACUCCUACGGGAGGCAGCAGUAGGGAAUCUUCCGCAAUGGGCGAAAGCCUGACGGAGCAACGCCGCGUGAGUGAUGAAGGUCUUCGGAUCGUAAAACUCUGUUAUUAGGGAAGAACAAAUGUGUAAGUAACUAUGCACGUCUUGACGGUACCUAAUCAGAAAGCCACGGCUAACUACGUG
rnacentral:rRNA from 1 species